GGAAUCUUCGGAUUCUAGUGGCGGACGGGUGAGUAACGCGUAAGAAUCUAACUUCAGGACGGGGACAACAGUUGGAAACGACUGCUAAUACCCGAUGUGCCGCAAGGUGAAACCUAAUUGGCCUGGAGAAGAGCUUGCGUCUGAUUAGCUAGUUGGUGGGGUAAGGGCCUACCAAGGCGACGAUCAGUAGCUGGUCUGAGAGGAUGAGCAGCCACACUGGGACUGAGACACGGCCCAAACUCCUACGGGAGGCAGCAGUGGGGAAUUUUCCGCAAUGGGCGAAAGCCUGACGGAGCAACGCCGCGUGAGGGAGGAAGGUCUUUGGAUUGUAAACCUCUUUUCUCAAGGAAGAAGUUCUGACGGUACUUGAGGAAUCAGCCUCGGCUAACUCCGUGCCAGCAGCCGCGGUAAUACGGGGGAGGCAAGCGUUAUCCGGAAUUAUUGGGCGUAAAGCGUCCGCAGGUGGUCAGCCAAGUCUGCCGUCAAAUCAGGUUGCUUAACGACCUAAAGGCGGUGGAAACUGGCAGACUAGAGAGCAGUAGGGGUAGCAGGAAUUCCCAGUGUAGCGGUGAAAUGCGUAGAGAUUGGGAAGAACAUCGGUGGCGAAAGCGUGCUACUGGGCUGUAUCUGACACUCAGGGAC
rnacentral:rRNA from 1 species